AGUGAACGCUGGCGGCAGGCCUAACACAUGCAAGUCGAGCGGCAGCGGGUCCCUCGGGAUGCCGGCGAGCGGCGGACGGGUGAGGAAUGCGUCGGAAUCUGCCUUUUUGUGGGGGAUAACGUAGGGAAACUUACGCUAAUACCGCAUACGACCUACGGGUGAAAGUGGGGGACCGCAAGGCCUCACGCAGAAAGAUGAGCCGACGUCGGAUUAGCUAGUUGGCGGGGUAAAGGCCCACCAAGGCGACGAUCCGUAGCUGGUCUGAGAGGAUGAUCAGCCACACUGGAACUGAGACACGGUCCAGACUCCUACGGGAGGCAGCAGUGGGGAAUAUUGGACAAUGGGCGCAAGCCUGAUCCAGCCAUGCCGCGUGUGUGAAGAAGGCCUUCGGGUUGUAAAGCACUUUUGUCCGGAAAGAAAUCCUGUCGGCUAAUACCCGGCGGGGAUGACGGUACCGGAAGAAUAAGCACCGGCUAACUUCGUG
rnacentral:rRNA from 1 species